UACGGAGGGGGCUAGCGUUGUUCGGAAUUACUGGGCGUAAAGCGUACGCAGACGGUGAGAAAGGUCGGAUGUGAAAGCCCCGGGCUCAACCCGGGAACUGCAUCCGAAACCAUCUCGCUAGAGUAUGGGAGAGGGAAGCGGAAUUCCUGGUGUAGAGGUGAAAUUCGUAGAUAUCAGGAGGAACAUCUGCGGCGAAGGCGGCUUCCUGGCCCAUUACUGACGUUCAGGUACGAAAGCGUGGGUAGCAAACAGG
rnacentral:rRNA from 1 species